rnacentral:rRNA from 1 species
AGAUUAAGUUAUUAAGGGCGCACGGUGGAUGCCUUGGCACUAGAAGCCGAUGAAGGACGUUACUAACGACGAUAUGCUUUGGGGAGCUGUAAGUAAGU